rnacentral:rRNA from 1 species
AUUGAACGCUGGCGGCAGGCCUAACACAUGCAAGUCGAACGAGUGGCGGACGGGUGGGUAAUGUCUGGGAAACGGCCUGAUGGAGGGGGCUAACUACUGGAAAGGGUAGCUAAUACCCCAUACCAUGGGUGGUGCCCAGAUGGGAUUAGCGAGUAGGUGGGGUAAAGGCUCACCUAGGCGACGAUCCCUAGCUGGUCUGAGAGGAUGACCAGCCACACUGGAACUGAGACACGGUCCAGACGCCUACGGGAGGCAGCAGUGGGGAAUAUUGCACAAUGGGCGCAAGCCUGAUGCAGCCAUGCCGCGUGUAUGAAGAAGGCCUUCGGGUUGUAAAGUACUUUCAGCGGGGAGGCGUUACCCGCAGAAGAAGCACCGGCUAACUCCGUGCCAGCAGCCGCGGUAAUAC